rnacentral:rRNA from 1 species
UGGGGAUUAUUGGACAAUGGGCGAAAGCCUGAUCCAGCCAUGCCGCGUGUGUGAAGAAGGUCUUCGGAUUGUAAAGCACUUUAAGUUGGGAGGAAGGGCAGUAAGCGAAUACCUUGCUGUCUUGACGUUACCGACAGAAUAAGCACCGGCUAACUCUGUGCCAGCAGCCGCGGUAAUACAGAGGGUGCAAGCGUUAAUCGGAAUUACUGGGCGUAAAGCGCGCGUAGGUGGUUCGUUAAGUUGAAUGUGAAAGCCCCGGGCUCAACCUGGGAACUGCAUCCAAAACUGGCGAGCUAGAGUAGGGCAGAGGGUGGUGGAAUUUCCUGUGUAGCGGUGAAAUGCUUAGAUAUGAGAAGGAACACCAGUGGCGAAGGCGACCACCUGGGCUCAUACUGACACUGAGGUGCGAAAGCGUGGGGAGCAAACAGG